rnacentral:rRNA from 1 species
AGAGUUUGAUCCUGGCUCAGGAUGAACGCUAGCUACAGGCUUAACACAUGCAAGUCGAGGGGCAGCAUAAGAGAAGCUUGCUUUCUUGAUGGCGACCGGCGCACGGGUGAGUAACGCGUAUCCAACCUACCCAUAAGUAGUGCAUAGCCCGGCGAAAGUCGGAUUAAUUCACUAUAUGUUAAUUUUGGCAUCUUUAUUAAACGAAAGAUUUAUUGCUUAUGGAUGGGGGAUGCGUAUGAUUAGUUAGUUGGUGAGGUAAUGGCUCACCAAGGCUACGAUCAUUAGGGGUUCUGAGAGGAAGGUCCCCCACACUGGUACUGAGACACGGACCAGGCUCCUACGGGAGGCAGCAGUGAGGAAUAUUGGUCAAUGGACGUAAGUCUGAACCAGCCAAAGUAGCGUGUAGGAAGACUGCCCUAUGGGUUGUAAACUACUUUUGUUCGGGAGUAAAGUUAGUCACGUGUGACUAUUUGCAAGUACCGAUCGAAUAAGGACCGGCUAAUUCCGUGCCAGCCGCGGC